rnacentral:rRNA from 1 species
CCUACGGGUGGCAGCAGUGAGGAAUAUUGGUCAAUGGACGCAAGUCUGAACCAGCCAUGUCGCGUGCAGGAAGACGGCCCUACGAGUUGUAAACUGCUUUUGUAAGAGGGUAAACGCAGAUACGCGUAUCUGUCUGAAAGUAUCGUACGAAUAAGGAUCGGCUAACUCCGUGCCAGCAGCCGCGGUAAUACGGAGGAUUCAAGCGUUAUCCGGAUUUAUUGGGUUUAAAGGGUGCGUAGGUGGGCGGUUAAGUUAGUGGUGAAAUCCCGAGGCUCAACUUCGGAAUUGCAUCUGAUACUGGUAGUCUAGAGUGUAGUUGCGGUAGGCGGAAUGUAUGGUGUAGCGGUGAAAUCCUUAGAGAUCAUACAGAACACCGAUUGCGAAGGCAGCUUACCAAGCUACUUCUGACGUUGAGGCACGAAAGCGUGGGGAUCAAACAGGAUUAGAUACCCGUGUAGUC